AACCUAGCACACCUGCGGUGUGUACCUGCGGAGGGAUCAUUACCAAGCCUGUGGAGAUUACCUUCUGAAAGGAUGUGUGAUCUCUCACCCGGCCACCCUUGUUUACCUUAACCUGUUGCUUUGGUGAGCCCGCUGAAAGGCCGCUGGGAAACUUAGUUUCCGGGUGAGUGCUCACCAAAGUCCCAUUGAACUCUUUUCUGAAGUUAUGCUGUCUGAGCACGCGGAAAUAGAUAUAAAACU
rnacentral:misc_RNA from 1 species